CUCGCCUACGGGAGGCAGCAGUAGGGAAUCUUCCACAAUGGACAAAAGUCUGAUGGAGCAACGCCGCGUGAGUGAAGAAGGGUUUCGGCUCGUAAAGCUCUGUUGGUAGUAAAGAAAGAUAGAGGUAGUAACUGGCCUUUAUUUGACGGUAAUUACUUAGAAAGUCACGGCUAACUACGUGCCAGCAGCCGCGGUAAUACGUAGGUGGCAAGCGUUGUCCGGAUUUAUUGGGCGUAAAGGGAACGCAGGCGGGCUUUUUAGUCUGAUGUGAAAGCCUUC
rnacentral:rRNA from 1 species